UACGUAGGUGGCAAGCGUUGUCCGGAUUUAUUGGGUUUAAAGGGUGCGUAGGCGGUCUUCUAAGUCAGUUGUGAAAUACUUCAGCUUAACUGGAGAGGUGCAAUUGAUACUGGAAGACUUGAGUACUGAUGAGGUAGGCGGAAUGGACGGUGUAGCGGUGAAAUGCUUAGAUAUCGUCCAGAACACCGAUAGCGAAGGCAGCUUACUAAGGAGUAACUGACGCUGAGGCACGAAAAGUGUGGGGAUCAAACAGGG
rnacentral:rRNA from 1 species